AUUGAACGCUGGCGGCAGGCCUAACACAUGCAAGUCGAGCGGAGCGGCGGACGGGUGAGUAAUGCCUCGGAAUCUGCCUGGUAGUGGGGGCUAACGACCGGAAACGGGCGCUAAUACCGCAUACUAUCAGAUGAGCCUAUGUCGGAUUAGCUAGUUGGGGGGGUAAAUGCCUACCAAGGCGACGAUCCGUAACUGGUCUGAGAGGAUGAUCAGUCACACUGGAACUGAGACACGGUCCAGACUCCUACGGGAGGCAGCAGUGGGGAAUAUUGGACAAGGGGCGAAAGCCUGAUCCAGCCAGGCCGCGUGUGUGAAGAAGGUCUUCGGAUUGUAAAGCACUUUAAGUUGGGAGGCGUUACCAACAGAAUAAGCACCGGCUAACUACGUGCCAGCAGCCGCGGUAAUUC
rnacentral:rRNA from 1 species